GGAUAACGAUUCAGAGGAAAGUGAGAACAGGUCUACUGGUAACGAGAAAAUGGUCCCUUACAACGUUAUUUGCAAAGCAAUGCGGCGCGCGAACGAAAAAGUUUGGAGACCCCUGAUCUAGCAAAAUUCCCUCAAAAGUCCAAUGAUUGUAAUGAUACAACAUUACUCAUUUCAUUUACAGCCCACAUGAAGUGGUAAAACGCUUUUACACUGUGCGGAACAAAUCGACUUAAUUUGAAAUACGAAAAUGAUAUUUGAUGCCAGCAUUAAGACAAGGCAACAGCAACAGUGGCUCUGGAAAAUGGUCUCUGCUUCUGAAUUUCAUCAUCUUUGCCAUAAUCACCCAAUACCGGUUUCAAUGCGAGAUCGUUCGAGCGAGUGACAGAGCUUUGAGUAGGGUCUUAGGAAAGGGAAAAAUAAUAAACCACACGCCCACCAUCAUCGCACUCGCUGAUCUUCGCACACACUACACUGCCCACGAAACCCUGUAGCGAGGGUGAUGGAAAUGAUGAUUCAUUCGUUCGCAACGAUGAGGAUUUUAUUAGAAAGUGUCUCCCCACAGCUGUACGCCGUGAGUCGCGUGAUGAAGCCGGCCUGAAGGAUCAAGAAUGGAUGGAUUCGAUGGGCGGUAAGAAGCACAGAUGUACUGCCACAUCCACACAUUUAUGUUUCCUUUUUCGCUUGUCGUGUCGCUGUCGCGGUUUUUCACAAUUUCCGCUUCAGCUGAUCGAAUAUCGCAAAUGGACGAAAGAAAUCGUAGACUGUAACCCUCCCAUAAGCUCUUGCAUCAUCCAGAGAAAAUGUGGACAGUAAGUGAUAAGGAUGUGGUAGUCAUACGUGGUAGAUAUUAUUUUUUGUAAUAUGCCUGAGUAAAAUGAGUCAUCAAACGAAAAUUGCUCCUUCUGUGUGCGUUUGAGUGAGUUGCAGCAUCAGAUGAC